CCCUACGGGGGGCAGCAGUGGGGGAUAUUGCACAAUGGGGGAAACCCUGAUGCAGCGAUGCCGCGUGGGUGAAGAAGCGCCUCGGCGCGUAAAGCCCUGUCAGCAGGGAAGAAAAUGACGGUACCUGAAGAAGAAGCCCCGGCUAACUACGUGCCAGCAGCCGCGGUAAUACGUAGGGGGCAAGCGUUAUCCGGAUUUACUGGGUGUAAAGGGGGCGCAGACGGCGAUGCAAGCCAGGAGUGAAAGCCCGGGGCCCAACCCCGGGACUGCUCUUGGAACUGCGUGGCUGGAGGGCAGGAGGGGCG
rnacentral:rRNA from 1 species